rnacentral:lncRNA from 1 species
AUGCCCAGCACUGGGCAGGAGGAAGGCAUCCUCAGGGCAAGGGUCUGCUAUCAGGGGGCUCUGGGCCGCAGCUCCUGGGCACUUCCAGAUUCCUGCAGCGCAGAGAAGUUUUACUGGGAGGGAGCACCCUGCGGCUGGAGAGACCCCGUUGCGAACACCCAGCGACGAAGUCUACAGCAGCCCAGGUCUGUGCUGCCUCCUGGUGGCGACAGAUUUUACUACACACGGCCCCCACGUGAAAGGAGUUUCUCUUCAGUGGCCCAGUUACUUUCUGUUGUGCAGAAGUCCCGAGCCACGGAUAUUCGGUCUGGAAGCUCUGAGUUUAUCUUGGGACCUCAAGAGGAGAGGAUCAUCCAACUCACAGGGAAACUGGUGCUUUAUUGUGAGGAGUACACUAUGGAGAGACCCAUGUGAAAAGGAACUGAGGACUCCAGGCAGAAGUCACCAAGGACUGAGGCUGCUGACAGCUGUGUGUGAACUCGGAAGCAGAUUGAUCCUUGCCCAAGCCUACACCUUGUCUACAGCCUUCAUGAGAGACCCUGAGUCAGGGGUGGACAUCCAAGCUGUGCCAAAACUGUUGACCCACAGAAACUGUGAGAUGAUACAUGUGUUUAAGCCCCCAUAUUGUGGAGUCAUUUAUUACACAGCAAAAGAUGGCUAAGACGAGCACUAUUUUUAUCCCUUGUGGGUUCAUGGCUUGGUUUCCCUACCUCCCACUGACUGAAUGUGACUAAAGCAAAAUCCUAUAAUCAGCUGUCGCUGAACAAUAUUAACUGAUUGUCUACUGCUUACUAGCAUGGCAGGAAUUCAAGAGUUUAUGAAGGAAAUGGCAACAGUGAGGCCGAGGAUUUACAUGCAGGAAAGGCUUCAUCCCGGCAAAUUACCCAGGGCAGACCUUGCCUCCUUCACUAUCUAAAAUAUCCAACUCUUAUAGCUUAAAAUCCUCAUCUCUCAUUGUCUGUCUUAUAGAAACCAUCCUAACCACCAAAACACAGCCACUCCAUUCCUUAUGAAGGGGCUCUUUAGAGAUGGGGAACCUCCUCUAGUUUUCCACUUGACUCUGGUCUUCCUCCUAGUUCCCUUCCUUCCGGGCAGAGGCUGAGGCCAGGCACACAGUACCUUUGCUCUUACUGUGUUUGCAAAAACAAUGGUUGCAUUUUCCCGUAGCUGACUACUAAAACUCUUGGCUGACUCAUUAAACAUUUUACUUUUGUCAGUUUCAAAGCACAGCUUACAUAUUAAUGAAAUCCACCAUCUCUCCUUUUGAUAAGGACUUUUGUCCGGUUUCAUGAUGUGGUUCAUUCUUGAGAAACAACAAAACAUGGUGGUUAAGAGCUUGGCGCUGGAUCCCACUUCCCAGUUUUAGGUUCUGGUUCUAAAAUUUACCCGCUGUGUGAUCUUGGGCAAUUUGCUUCACCUCUCUGCGCCUCCAUUUACACAUAAAAUAUUGGAUAAUAAUGACGUAGUUGUGAACCAAAGAACAUGUGUCCUUAUUUGGAAUGACUAGAAAUGGUUAGCUGUUUUAGAAUGACAAACAAUCAGGAAUACAUGGGCGACAGUCCUGAUGAUGCUUGGGCACAAGGAAGUAAACACGUGUAAAGUGCUUAGAGCAAGGGCUGGCUCCAAGUGAGCACCGAUGAGCCUUAGCUCCUACGCUAUUAUCACAGUAUCAUUUGGGGCAAAUAUAAAGCUAUCAUUUUUUAGAUCAAAAUGCUUUUCUGAGCUGUGACUACCUUCUUUGAUUCAAAUUUAUGAAAUUUUCCAUGAAUUGUGAAAUAACCCACCGGCCUAUACUGGCUUCUUAGAGAGAGUCACCCAUGACUCAAAUUCCUCAAAAGAAAUAAGAUGUCUUCCUCUCUGCAAAGGCUUGAGAAGUUAUUUGUAGCCAAAGGAUGGAGAUAAGGCUUGUGUUACUCCUGGAAGCAGAGAGGGGACCUAUUUAAUAGGCAAGAUGAGGAUACUACAGAAUCAUUUAUCAAACUUUCAAGCAACUGUGGUUUGUAAAAUAACUGAGACACCCUGGAAAAGUCAGAUCUCUUAGUCAAAGGAGAAUGCAAUUUAAGUUUCAGUAAUCCAUAUAGAAGAAAUGAAUACCUGCCCAAGGAUGAUGCAUAGAUAUUCACAAGGGCCUCGUAGAUGUUAUUAAUAGCAAUCAUUUUUAGUGGACUGAGAAACAGG